rnacentral:RNase_P_RNA from 1 species
AAGACAGGCUUUCCUGCCGCUAUGCCUGAUCAAGGCAGAGAGGAAAGUCCGGGCAACACAGGGCAGCAUACUUCCUAACGGGAAGCUGUUUUCCGGUUUUUGACCGGAGAGCAAGAGAAAGUGCCACAGAAAAUAACCGCCCCGACAUGUGCGGGGUAAGGGUGAAAACGUGAGGUAAGAGCUCACGGCAGGUGGUGGUGACAUCAUUUGCGGGUAAACCUUAUGCGUUGAAAGACCAAAUAUACCGGGGGUUGAGGGCGGCCCGCCCAAUCCCGGAGGGUAGGUCGUUAGAGAUCAGGUGCAAACCUGUUCCCAGAUAAAUGGCAGGAGUUUCAUAUCCCCUUGGGGAUUUGGAAAACAGAACCCGGCUUAUAAGCCUGUCUUUUUU